UUAUGGUAUCAAGGCAAGAGAAACAUACAUAUGCAAAUGAGUAUUUUGAUUUUGAGAAGUUGGAGGAAAAAUAAGAUGUAGGUCCAAAUAUGUUUCGCCUACAAUGACUUACUGGGCUUCCAUUUAGCAUUCAUGUUUGCUACAUGAGGUCCAACUUGAGAAUCAGAUGCGGGGAGAUAGGAUACCAUAAAUUCGGCUAUGUACAUCUUUGAUAGCGAUAUAAGUGCUUGAUGGGUCUGAAAACUGCUGUAACUUGUUCUCUGUUAUGGUAAUGAAAAUUCAGGUUGGCUUGUUCUGAAAAAAGAAA
rnacentral:lncRNA from 1 species